rnacentral:rRNA from 1 species
GUCGAACGGCAGCACAGUAAGAGCUUGCUCUUAUGGGUGGCGAGUGGCGGACGGGUGAGGAAUACAUCGGAAUCUACUCUUUCGUGGGGGAUAACGUAGGGAAACUUACGCUAAUACCGCAUACGACCUACGGGUGAAAGCGGAGGACCUUCGGGCUUCGCGCGGUUGAAUGAGCCGAUGUCGGAUUAGCUAGUUGGCGGGGUAAAGGCCCACCAAGGCGACGAUCCGUAGCUGGUCUGAGAGGAUGAUCAGCCACACUGGAACUGAGACACGGUCCAGACUCCUACGGGAGGCAGCAGUGGGGAAUAUUGGACAAUGGGCGCAAGCCUGAUCCAGCCAUGCCGCGUGGGUGAAGAAGGCCUUCGGGUUGUAAAGCCCUUUUGUUGGGAAAGAAAAGCAGUCGGUUAAUACCCGAUUGUUCUGACGGUACCCAAAGAAUAAGCACCGGCUAACUUCGUGCCAGCAGCCGCGGUAAUACGAAGGGUGCAAGCGUUACUCGGAAUUACUGGGCGUAAAGCGUGCGUAGGUGGUGGUUUAAGUCUGUUGUGAAAGCCCUGGGCUCAACCUGGGAAUUGCAGUGGAUACUGGAUCACUAGAGUGUGGUAGAGGGUAGCGGAAUUCCCGGUGUAGCAGUGAAAUGCGUAGAGAUCGGGAGGAACAUCCGUGGCGAAGGCGGCUACCUGGACCAACACUGACACUGAGGCACGAAAGCGUGGGGAGCAAACAGGAUUAGAUACCCUGGUAGUCCACGCCCUAAACGAUGCGAACUGGAUGUUGGGUGCAAUUUGGCACGCAGUAUCGAAGCUAACGCGUUAAGUUCGCCGCCUGGGGAGUACGGUCGCAAGACUGAAACUCAAAGGAAUUGACGGGGGCCCGCACAAGCGGUGGAGUAUGUGGUUUAAUUCGAUGCAACGCGAAGAACCUUACCUGGUCUUGACAUCCACGGAACUUUCCAGAGAUGGAUUGGUGCCUUCGGGAACCGUGAGACAGGUGCUGCAUGGCUGUCGUCAGCUCGUGUCCUGAGAUGUUGGGUUAAGUCCCGCAACGAGCGCAACCCUUGUCCUUAGUUGCCAGCACGUAAUGGU